UGGAACAACAUAAUUGUUAGAUUAAAAAACAUCAGCGAAUCACGUUAUUUCAUUAUGAUUAUAAAACCAUUAACAGGUAACAGCCAUCACUUGAUCUCAUGUCACUUUAGAUUUCUUUGAUGCUGCAAAUGUGCUCAACAAACAAACUGUCACAGCAGCCACAAUAGCCAAAACAUAUAAUAAGUGUUAAGAGCUCAACUAAUGGAAACACUAAUCACUGUUAUGGUAUAUUUAAUGUGCUGCCAUGCAUUUCACCAAAUUCCAACCAAAAUUCAACGUCUGUCUGAUGUCGGAGUUUGACGUCAAACAAAGUUGGGUUUAGAUGUCAACCCGACUUUAAUUUUCAACCAAAAUAUGACGUCUGACUGACGUUGGAUUAGUUGGAGUCCAACGUCUUCCUGACGUCACAUUGAUGUACUGUGCCUGCUGGGUGGUGUUUCUUUUUCUUCUUCACUUGUGUAUUUUUGAAAAUUUUGUACAGAAGAUGCAUACUAGCACCCUAUACCAUAAAACAAUGAAAACAGAUUCUAGGAUACAUAAAGAGCAUUUCUGAGAAGUACAUAAAAAGUAAACUAAAAGUAUACUUUCCUAUUUUUAGUUUAAAAGAUGUAUACUAAUAGCACACUUGAAUAAACUUCU